rnacentral:rRNA from 1 species
CUACGGGAGGCUGCAGGCGAGAAAACUUUGCAAUGUGCGAAAGCACGACAAGGUUAAUCCGAGUGGUUUGUGCUAAACGAACCUUUUGACAGUCCUAGAAACACUGUUGAAUAAGGGGUGGGCAAGUUCUGGUGUCAGCCGCCGCGGUAAAACCAGCACCUCAAGUGGUCAGGAUGAUUAUUGGGCCUAAAGCAUCCGUAGCCGGCUCUGUAAGUUUUCGGUUAAAUCUGUACGCUCAACGUACAGGCUGCCGGGAAUACUGCAGAGCUAGGGAGUGGGAGAGGUAGACGGUACUCGGUAGGAAGGGGUAAAAUCCUUUGAUCUAUUGAUGACCACCUGUGGCGAAGGCGGUCUACCAGAACACGUCCGACGGUGAGGGAUGAAAGCUGGGGGAGCAAACCGGAUUAGAUACCCUCGUAGUC